CUAUCCUACUGGAGCUGGAGUUAGAAGGAGGGUGCUACAGUCUCAACAUGUCCCCCAAAAUUCAUGUGUUGAAACAUAACAGCCAAUGUGACAGUAUUAAGAGGUAGGGCAUUUCACGGAUGAGUCAUCACGGUGGAGCCUUCACAGAUGGGAUUAGGGCCCUUAUAAAAGGGCUUGAGGACAUAGGUUUGUUGGCUUCUGCUCUUCUGACAUGUGAGGACACAGCAUUCCUUCCCUUUUGCUCUUCUGUCCUUUCUACCACCGGAAGACACAAGCGUCCCUCCCCUCCAGAGGAUGCAGCAACAGGUGCCAUCCUGGACGCAGAGAGUCGCCCUCAACAGACAACUGAACCUGCCGGCAGCUUGAUUUUGGACUUCCCGGCCUGCAGAACUGUGAGAAAGAGAUUUCCAGUUACAAAUGACUUAGUCUCAGAAAAAGUCUGCUGGCUGCUGAUUUGAAACAUUCAAGGAAGUGUCCUGGAUGCAGCUCGGGCCUUUGACUGAAGUCCAAGACAGCGGCAAGGGGAGUCCCUUGCUGGCUCCUCUGAGCACUGGCCGCUUCGUAGGAAAAGCUGGAUUUUCAAAGGAGUCCUAGAGAAGCCUUCCUUCCGAGAGCUACCGAGAAAUGCUGGCUGAGUCAGCGGCCCUUGUCAAGCCGGGAGAGGAAGGUAUUG
rnacentral:lncRNA from 1 species